GUCCAAAUGAAGAAAUAUUUGGUCUAACCUGCCCGGUGAAAUUAUUUAACGGCCGCGGUAUUUCUGACCGUGCAAAGGUAGCAUAAUCACUUGUCUUUUAAUUGGAGGCUUGUAUGAAUGGUUGGACGAAGAAUAAUCUGUUUCAAAUAAAUUAAUUGAAUUUAACCUCUAAGUGAAAAGGCUUAGAUGAUUUAAAAAGACGAUAAGACCCUAUAAAUCUUGACACUAUAUUUAGAGUCUAAUUAAUUUAUGAAGUUUAUGAUAGAGUAAACUCUAUAAAAGUGUUAUGUUGGGGCGACAGAAAUAUAAGACAGAUAACUGUUUAUCUUUUCUAACAAGUUAUUAUUGAUUUUAAGAUCCUUCUUAAAGAUUGAAAGAUUAAGUUACUUUAGGGAUAACAGCGUUAUUCUUUUUGAGAGUUCUCAUUGAAAAAAGAGUUUGCGACCUCGAUGUUGAAUUAAAAUUUCUUUAUGGUGCAGCAGCUAUAAAAGAGAGUCUGUUCGACUUUUAAAAUUUU
rnacentral:rRNA from 1 species